CCUACGGGUGGCAGCAGUGAGGAAUAUUGGUCAAUGGGCGAGAGCCUGAACCAGCCAAGUCGCGUGAAGGAUGACGGCCCUACGGGUUGUAAACUUCUUUUGUCAGGGAGCAAUUUGGUCCACGCGUGGGCUUAUCGAGAGUCCCCGUAGAAAAAGCAUCGGUUAACCCCGGGCAAGCAGCCGGGGUAAUACGGAGGAUGGGAGGGUUUUCCGGUUUUAUGGGGUUUAAGGGGUCCGUAGGCGGAAUAUCAAGUCAGCGGUAAAUAUUCGGGGCUCAACCCCGUAGUGCCGUUGAAACUGGUGUGCUUGAGUGGGCGGGAAGUAUGCGGAAUGCGUGGUGUAGCGGUGAAAUGCAUAGAUAUCACGAAGAACUCCGAUUGCGAAGGCAGCAUACCGGCGCCCAACUGACGCUGAAGCACGAAAGCGUGGGUAUCGAACAGGAUUAGAUACCCGGGUAGUC
rnacentral:rRNA from 1 species